ACUCCCAGCAGUGGGCAAAGAGACACUGUGUUGGUGGUGCCGUUCUUAUAUCAGUCAGGGGAAGAGCAGAUCGCAGUCUUUUGCUUAUCAUCCUAGCUUAAUGCCUGACUUGAUGGCUAAAGCUGUCAUAUAUCUAGGACUCAUAA